rnacentral:lncRNA from 1 species
CCUGCACCUGGGCAUUUCCUGCCCCGGCCUCACGCUCAGAGCUCAGCCCAGGUCCUUGGGGUUUCCUGUUUUGCUCUCAGAGCUUUCAUUUCACCCACAAAUCACUUCCCCUUCUGAGGCUCCUUGUGGCUGAUCCCCUCCAUUUCUGCUCCAGGCCUGGAGCCUCUUCCUUGCCCCUUCCUGGCUCCUUGUGUGCAGCCAGCCAGGAUUAUCCCUGUCAUUCCUCCAACGGGACCUCCUCAGCAGCUGGAAUUCAAACCAGGCUUUCCCUGGCACCAGCAGAUGCUGCCACUGCAAAUCCAGCCCUGCUAAAUCUCCAGCUGCCUUGGCCAAAACAUCAUGAAUAUUCAUGAGGUGAUUAAUUAACGUCUCCCCGCUUUAAUAGCUCCUCACAAAAUUCUGUGCCAUCCCAGGGGCUGGCACCAGGGUGGAAGAGUCACUUCAAGGUAUUUUGGAACAACCUGUCCGGGACUGAACACGUCUGAGGACUGCAGUGAUCCCAAUCAGCUCCCCAAGGCUGUGAUGGUGAUUAGUGCCCAUAAUUAGAAAUCCUCCACAAGGGUCAGGCUGUGCUGCAGAGCUGGGAUGGUGCAGGAAGGAAUUUCCAGCUGUGGGAUAUUCCAG